GACGAACGCUGGCGGCAUGCCUAAUACAUGCAAGUCGAGCGAACAGAUGAAGUGCUUGCACUUCUGACGUUAGCGGCGAACGGGUGAGUAACACGUAAGGAAUCUACCUAUAAGCGGGGGAUAACAUUCGGAAACGGGUGCUAAUACCGCAUAAUAUCUUCUUCCGCAUGGAAGAAGAUUGAAAGACGGCUCUGCUGUCACUUAUAGAUGACCUUGCGGUGCAUUAGUUAGUUGGUGGGGUAACGGCCUACCAAGACGAUGAUGCAUAGCCGACCUGAGAGGGUGAUCGGCCACAUUGGGACUGAGAAACGGCCCAAACUCCUACGGGAGGCAGCAGUAGGGAAGCUUCCGCAAUGGGCGAAAGCCUGACGGAGCAAUGCCGCGUGAGUGAAGAAGGCCUUCGGGUCGUAAAACUCUGUUAUAAGAGAAGAACAAAUUGUAGAGUAACUGCUACAGUCUUGACGGUAUCUUAUCAGAAAGCCACGGCUAACUACGUGCCAGCCGCCGCCGUAA
rnacentral:rRNA from 1 species